UACGGAGGAUGCGAGCGUUAUCCGGAUUUAUUGGGUUUAAAGGGUGCGCAGGCGGGAUUGUAAGUCAGCGGUGAAAUCUCGAGGCUCAACCUCGAACCUGCCGUUGAAACUGUGAUUCUUGAGUAUGGAUGAAGUAGGCGGAAUUCGUUGUGUAGCGGUGAAAUGCUUAGAUAUAACGAGGAACCCCGAUUGCGUAGGCAGCUUACUAAACCAUUACUGACGCUCAAGCACGAAAGCGUGGGUAUCAAACAGG
rnacentral:rRNA from 1 species